CCGCGGUAAUACGUAGGUGGCAAGCGUUGUCCGGAUUUAUUGGGCGUAAAGCGAGCGCAGGCGGUUUUUUAAGUCUGAUGUGAAAGCCUUCGGCUCAACCGAAGAAGUGCAUCGGAAACUGGGAAACUUGAGUGCAGAAGAGGACAGUGGAACUCCAUGUGUAGCGGUGAAAUGCGUAGAUAUAUGGAAGAACACCAGUGGCGAAGGCGGCUGUCUGGUCUGUAACUGACGCUGAGGCUCGAAAGUAUGGGUAGCAAACAGGAUUAGAUACCCUGGUAGUCCAUACCGUAAACGAUGAAUGCUAAGUGUUGGAGGGUUUCCGCCCUUCAGUGCUGCAGCUAACGCAUUAAGCAUUCCGCCUGGGGAGUACGGCCGCAAGGCUGAAACUCAAAGGAAUUGACGGGGGCCCGCACAAGCGGUGGAGCAUGUGGUUUAAUUCGAAGCUACGCGAAGAACCUUACCAGGUCUUGACAUACUAUGCAAAUCUAAGAGAUUAGACGUUCCCUUUCGGGGACAUGGAUACAGGUGGUGCAUGGUUGUCGUCAGCUCGUGUCGUGAGAUGUUGGGUUAAGUCCCGCAACGAGCGCAACCCUUAUUAUCAGUUGCCAGCAUUAAGUUGGGCACUCUGGUGAGACUGCCGGUGACAAACCGGAGGAAGGUGGGGAUGACGUCAAAUCAUCAUGCCCCUUAUGACCUGGGCUACACACGUGCUACAAUGGAUGGUACAACGAGUUGCGAACUCGCGAGAGUAAGCUAAUCUCUUAAAGCCAUUCUCAGUUCGGAUUGUAGGCUGCAACUCGCCUACAUGAAGUCGGAAUCGCUAGUAAUCGCGGAUCAGCAUGCCGCGGUGAAUACGUUCCCGGGCCUUGUACACACCGCCCGUCACACCAUGAGAGUUUGUAACACCCAAAGUCGGUGGGGUAACCUUUUAGGAACCAGCCGCCUAAGGUGGGACAGAUGAUUAGGGUGAAGUCGUAACAAGG
rnacentral:rRNA from 1 species